AACGUAGGUGGCGAGCGUUAUCCGGAUUUACUGGGCGUAAAGGGUGUGCAGGCGGGUCAUUAAGUGGUGUAUGAAAUCGCCCGGCUCAACCGGGCGAGGUUAUGCCAGACUGGUGGUCUAGAGAGCGAGAGAGGGACGUGGAAUUCCGGGUGUAGUGGUGAAAUGCGUAGAGAUCCGGAGGAACCCCAGAGGCGAAGGCGGCGUCCUGGCUCGCAUCUGACGCUCAGACACGACAGCAUGGGGAGCGAACGGG
rnacentral:rRNA from 1 species